UAGAACUCAAGUACGGCAUCUCUCGUUAAAAGCACUUCUACCAGACACUAACGGGUAUAUGACUUAUGAGGGUAGUACGACGCACCCAGGCUGUUGGGAAACAGCCGUAUGGCUGAUUCUUAACAAACCUAUCUACAUCACUGCACAGGAACUUUAUGCUUUAAGAAGAUUGAUGCAAGGCACUAUUGAUGUUCCAAAAGCCCCACUAGGAAAUAAUUCUAGACCAUUGCAAGAACUUCGCCAUAGGACUAUACGAACCAACAUUGAUUUUCGUAAGCAGCUGGGUGCUAAGUGUCCAACAAUGACGACGAAUAUGCGAUACAAAGAUUAUUUAUUCCGUAGCUAAUAGAUGGCGGGAUGACAACCCAUUAACUCAUAAUAUCGUUUGAGAAUCUAUUCAGUUUGGUAGAACUUGUGACAAUCGAUGAUUAAAAUUUAUAUCAUCGACACUUUCCAUAUAUAAAGUUGCAGCAAAUGAAAGGAAGAAUAAUGAAUUGAUAGAAACAGCAUAUCAAAAUCAAACUAUGAGAAUAGCAUAAUAAAGGAAGUAAAUGUAACAGUAAUA